UUCACUGCAGAAGAUAUUAUCAAUCAAGAGGUAAGUUUACAAUACUUGAAAAAAAAAACCUUUUAGUGAAAUCUAUACAACGCCGUGAUUUAAAAAAAGAUUGUACGUUUUUUUUUUUAUGAAAGUAGAUACUUAUUAAUUAAUUUUCUCAUACUUUUCUUCAGUAAGUUUAUUUUACCAAGUUUAAACAGCGCAAAUCAGUGCUUGUCGUUGGUUGCGGUCUGUCAUAUCUGUUUUCCGUUUACUGUCACAAAUCAGCCUGUUGGUUUUCUCAUUUGAAUUGUUUCAUGUCUUUAUUGUUUGACAUUUUAUAUAAUUAUAUGGGGUUUCCUCAUUAUUGAAGGCCAAACAGUGACCGAUAGUUGCUUACUAUUGCGUCAUUUGACUUUGGUGGAUUGUUGACUCAUUACGACUUCGCCUGAUUGUUAUUUUAAUUUGUACUAGCUUUCAGUAACUCUUGAGUAGUCUUUGAUCGGAACUUUAUGUCAUUUUUCUUCAUUACAGUUGUUUUUGUACUUCAAGUCAAUAUAAUAAAUAUAGUAAAGCCAUUUUCGACUGAGUUUUACAGUUCUUUCUUGUGCUUUUUCGCUAUUGUCCCAGGUAAGGGGAGGAUUAAAUGCUCACUUCCAUGUUUUACCACGCCACAUUCUUAAUGAGUCUGUUCCAAUCAGGAGCCUAUAAUUCAGAGGUCGACCUUGUUGAAUUUUGUCACACUUGUCUAGACACUUGACGGUUAUAUGGUAUUAUAAAGCGUUUGCGUUUGCACACAUUUUUUUGAAGAAAGGUAGAAAGCGGACUUCUACAUACCCGAUGUCUAGUUUGAUUAUUAUUUUUAUUGCUGUCACAUUAACGAAGUCUCCAUUAGUUCAUAAUAAAUCAACCGAUACAACUCAAAACUGCAUAACUUACACACAAUCUAAAUCGCAUUAAUUUGAUUGGUCAAGGAAUAUCUGUUUAUUUUCAGACAUUUGAGAGUUGUUGCAGACAUGAUAGGUAUACUAUAGAUUCAUGAUUACUUGAUUUCUCUCAUGGAACAUAUUAAUACAUCUUGAUAUAGAAUCAAUAAUGAAUAUAAAGACGUUGACAUGUGUAAUUAUUAAUCUAUCACAUCCUAUCAUACCACGUAGUCCUGAGAAAUAAUAACUGUCUCCAAAGCUGAAAAGACACAUCGUUUCCACUAUCAUUUUACUAUCAUAAUUGAAUAAUUCUACCCCUUAGAGAGCGUAAAAGAAUAAAUCUAUUAGGUUAGCAAUCAAACUAAAAGCAUCUUUCAUAAUUAAUAGGGUAAGAUAUCAAAACAGUAAUAGGAAUUACGGGUUUGGCUAAAAUGGGUAUCCAAUAAUGUUUUGUUGGAUUGCUUUUGUAUUAUAAAUAAUAUUACUUGUUAUAAACGAGGAUUGUCAGACAAAAUCAUAAAGUACGAAGAGUAAAUUAAUUUUCUUAUUUAUAAUAUAUAAAUUGACCAUCAUGUUGUCAUUAUAAUCGGACUGUUUUCACUCCGGAAGGUAGAUUAUUGUUUCUGAGAACAAAUCAAUUUCUGGUUCUUUAAAUUAACAGAUGAUAGCAUAUUGUUAUACUAUAGCAUUAAUUGAAUUUAAUAAUUAAGAUGGAUGAACAUUAUGUGGUAGAUACAUUUAACAAUAAACUUACAAUGAAUCCAUCGAAAUUUGAAGUUUUUUUUUCAAAUAUUAAAAGCAUGGUAUAGAAAUAGAAAAUAGAAUUAAGGUAUGAUCAUUUUGAUAAAAAAGAUAAGAUACUUAAUCAGCUCUUCAUUGUAAUAAUGUAUCUGAAUGAAUAAAUAAAAUAGCAUAAAAUUGUUAAAGGAAACUAAAAGCUCAUUCUAAGUUUGGAUAGGUGCAUUUAAACCAAAGGAUUAACUGGGGCAAUAUGCGCAAUUGUUUCUACAUAGGCGGUAAUGGUAACGUUUUCUUCUCUAGCUCAGUGCAGAUCGUAAACUUGAAUAUGAAUGAUGGCUCGUUUCGAAGCUGAGACAUUUUCACAUAUGUGGUUAUACUUUUGGGGUACAGAGUGUGAUUAAUUUUUCCGUAAAUUUGCAUAACCCGAAAAUCCUUUCUUGGUGCGGCUCCUCAUGGUAAAAAAAUCCCUUUUUCACACAAUAAUUGCUUUGAAAAUUUAAUACUUUCAAUGCAUUUAAUAACUAGUUUUUACAUAUUUAUUCUAUUGUCCUCUACUUUCCAGAUCCACACAAAUGGUUAAGCUCAGUCACUUGUUGAAAACAGAGAUUUUUUUACAUACAACUUUUGCGUUCGUCAAUUGGAGGUACAUAAGAGAUAUUGACCUAACAGGGGUAAACAAUAUUGUCAGCCCUAGGACUUCUCCCGUUCCGGCAAUACAUUUAUUUCUAGUUAUUGACAAUAGAGAACAGAUGAAAUCGGUUUAAAAAUACCAAUCAUGGAAGCAAACACAAAAUGAGGGAUUCACAUUAAUACCUAAAAGCUCCAGACCGGUUGUGUCUAUUUUAUGCGGGAGGCAUGAACACGUACCCACGUCUGGUCGAAAUGUUCAUGUUAUGUUCGAUAUCUCGCACAGAAAAAGUUCCAUGCUGUUUGCAUGUGAAAAAAGCCUACUCCGAAAAGUUCCGUUGGUGGCCUGUUGCAAUGCAAAAUUUAUGUCCUUAUCAAAUAUCCAUCAUGUUCCAUCGGAAGCCACACCAAUUACAACGAUCGACCCCUUACUUGCAUUACCUACAUGUUGUAUUAGUUGAUUAUUUGUUUUCGCCUCAACAAUGCAUGAUCUAUUUCCAGUGGACGUACGGCAAAAACGAGUCAAUCAAUCAUACAUGAAUUUUAUUUGCCUUUAUAAUGAUUACGAUUAUAACACAAUGUUCAACGCUGUACCCCUGGCUUAUGUUUUUUUAACAUUUUUACCUAUUAUGUCUGACCGUUUUGUUCACACAUCGUAUUCAAUAUAAUGGAAUUUUAUGCGACUGUCAUACAAUUGAGAUGUUCAGCUAGCUAUUAAACCAGGAUUAAUUCACCACUUGGUACGUAAGAAAACGCUUUUAACACGUCACUAAUAUGGCCUGUGUUAUCCAUUCGUUUGAUGUGUUUCAGAUUUUCAUUUUGCCAUUUGCGUAGGGACUUACAAUUUUAAAUUUUCCGUGGCGAUCGGUAUUUUUAUUAUUUUGAUUUUUAAUACUGUCCAGGCUUAUGUUUCGUGGUUCAAAUGAAAAUUAUGCAAAUAUUUGUUGAUAACAAAUAUUAUAGCUAAAUAUAUUUUUUGAACCGAUGAUAGUAUUUGACAAGAUUGCAUUAAAAUGGAAUGAGGAAGAUGAGCCGAUGCUUAAAUAAGAUCAAAUUAAUAUGAAAAUGACUUUGAUCUUGUCCCACAGAACUCGAACCUUUAUUUAGUAAAAAUUCAAAUUCACAUAGCUGCAUUUGUUUUAUCAGAAUGAAUGUAGCUUUUUACAUAGAAGAGAUGACUGCAAGGAGGCAAAUACAAUAAAAUGUUGAAAUACUCAAAUACCAUGGCCUAAAAAAAGAAGAAAAUAUGAAACCGUCGGGUAACAUUUCAUUUUCAGAAGAAACUUUAAAAUCCUUCAUUAUCGCUUAAGUAUUUCCAUCAAUAAUAAUAUAAUUCAUGUUAUAGAAAAACCUAUGUUUAGAAGACCUACCAGGGUAUACCAUGGUUAUUUUGAUGAUGAUUGACAAUGAAUAAAAUAAUAAACAUAUUUGUAAAAACCAAUCAGAAUUUUUUCAGUUAUUUUCAUUGCCGGUUGUUGAAGACUAUCGUUCUGCGUUAAAAUCAGUGGUAGAAAAGAAUUAAGUUGUUUUAAAAUCUAAAAUAUAAGAGAAAAAUGAAAAUUCACCAUUUGUCAAAGCUGCGAUACAAUUAUCUCAUGAAGACGAUUGUCAUAAUGUGUACCUAAAUUGGUGACAAUUUCACACAGAGAGUCAUAAACGAUUUUAUAUAAAAACAUAUUUUUGCCUUAAAGAUAUCAACAUCCGAUAUGAUAGAACUGGACCAUUAAGUCCACCAUAGAAUCAAAAUCAUAGCAGUGGGAGUCGUGUGGCUUCAUUUAUGUCUUAGAUUUCCUAGCUAUACCACGACAGCUUUAUUAAAAUCAAAGCUUUAAAAUCAACAAUUUAAAGGACGAAAACUGAUAUCUUAAAAAGUUUUAAAGGGGAACGAUUUCCCACGAGAUGAUAAGAUUGCAUUUAUAAAGUGUUUUAAACACUUAUAGUCGCAGAAUUGCACAAGACCCAGCAUGAUCCUUGAAAGAAAUCGCUUCUAAAGUAACAAAAAGAAUCAUGAGAUGAUAAUGACAUAUAUUGAUUCUUGGACUAUUAAAGUUAGUAUGGUCACAUAUUGUAUUCAGUCUGCUUACAAUACUUCUAUUCUUUUUAAGUUUAGAUGUAUGACAGUUAUACAUAUUAAAUAAAUGUUCUAGGAAGCCUCUUUUAUUGAUAAACUACAUAAGGUUAUCUCAUUGAUAAAGGUUUUGAGGGGGAAAUAAAAACAAGAGGAACGUAAAUAUGUCUUCUCCUAGAAAAUUAAACACAUACAAAUAAGUGUCUGGCAUAGGCUUUUGUCAGAAAAAAAAUAAAAAUAUCUCAAAAGUUAUCUCAAAUUUCGAUUAUUAAUAUGAAUGGCGUGUAACCUGGUUUUGAGUAUAGAAGGAGAUUUAAACUUUUGAGCCAUCUGUGUCUAACUUUAUUAUGCUCUUUGUUUUAAACGAAUUUAUCAUAGUUUAAAAUUUAAAAAUUUAAUAUAUGAUAAUGAAUCGUGUGCACUAAAGUAAUUUUUGAUAAUGGUAAUGGUUCGUUCAGAAGAUGUCACUGGUACCAUUUUACCAGUAUCUAGUUCUUAGGUAGUGGCAUCAGUACGUUUUCGUAUUCACUGAUCCCAAUCUUUGGUCUUAAGUUAAAUAUUUUUAAAAUGUGUCUGUCAUAAAGUAAUAGGAGAUGUUCGUUAUUAUUCUUUGGUUUAUAUGUUGUACUGUACCAUUAUAUUAUUUAUUAAUGUAUUUCCCAGUUCUGAGUGUUCCUGCAUUUAUAUUUAGUCUGUUCAUGUUACGUAAUAUUGUCAUACUAGCGGUAUCUUUAACAUUGCCAUAUAAGCGGGAGGUUUUGCUAUCCUUAUAAUCAGGGUCACCCACCUUUUUGUUUCUUACAAUGUCCUAUACCAAAUCAGGAAUAUGGCUGUUAUGAACACUGCAAUGUUGUUUAAGCCCCUGUAUUUUUUUGUUUUAAAUAUUUGUCUUUGAGUGAAUACAAAAUUGUUUCGGAAAUGUUUUUGCACCCUUAUUUCAGUAUUUUCAUGUUUUCCAUUUAUUCAAAAAGAACGCGUUGCUAAACUAUCCAGCAGUUACGUUAAGUACAAUUCGCUAGUUUUUGCAAAGAGGGGUCAUACAAGAAAGAAAUGCAUUGUUUAAAUGAAAAUGAAACUCUGGAAAUGCAACUUAUAUGAAGGUGAAUCCAGAAAAGCGCUUCGGACCUAUUUAAAUUAUUAAACGUGUUGUUUUCAAUUUUUUAUAGACAGUACUAUAAAUCGCCCUUCCUUACAACUUGCCACAUACGAACUAGUCCACUGUUGACAACUGUAUCGGAACGGAUUUCUGAUUUGGAUAUCUUGUGUUGUUUUGACUGGUUUCUUUAACAAUUAUACUUUGGCCUUUUUUACUUUCAAGAACUGAGACAUUUUCAAGAUUCCACUUACUUUUUAAUUUAGAAAUUAACUAUGCUUGUUUGUUGUCAAUAAGGAGAUGAAAUUUAAUUGCAUAAUAAUUUUCAUUAAUGUUGGCCUUUGAUUUAGAAAUUGAGAAAACUGUUUAAAUCCUCUCUGUGUUCUUAUUGGUAUAAUUGAAGAAUUAGAGGGCUCAAAUAUAAAAUUGGUGGAAACGUUUUAUUUCUUAUCAUGAAAUUAUUUUACGUUCUUCUUGCAAUUUCCUCAACAUCAAUCAUAAAGUACAUUUAUUAUUAUAUUUCGUUGUCGUUCUGAGAUGUUACAGAAAUUUGUGAAAUCUGUUCAUUAAUUAUACAAGUGACAAUUUACUUGCAAAGAUUCUGAAUUGAACGGUGUUUCUAAAGAUGAAUAUUGCCUUUACCUGGGACUAACGACAUUUUAAUAGCCGUGAUACCAGAAAAAGGUAUGGUAAACUUAAUAUGAAUAAGUUAUAAAUCUUUUCCCAGGAAAACAACAAAGGAAUUCUAAUAUCUUUUAGAAAGCUAAUUAAGCACAAUUUAGGGACUUGUGAUAUUCAAAUGUUUCUUCUUAAACUGAACAGGAUAUUGAAAUGAUUAGUAAAAAUCGAUUUAUUGACAAAACCAUAGAAAUUUAUCAUGGUUAUUUUCUCUCUUCUUGUAUUUCUCCGGGUACGUUUAGUGUCAAUUUUAUAAUUGAAAUAUGUAACUAGACAAGAAAACUCAUACUUUUUUUCAGAAAAGAAUACAAAUAAACUCUUCAUAGAUACUAUGCUUAACAUUUUGAACGCCAGACGCGCGUUGGGAAAAGGUCCAUAACGACAAUAACAUUUACCGUGUAAACGAAUAACUGAUAACACUGAAAACUACAAUUUCAUUUCAUCUGUUUUACUCGAUAUCUUUUAUUUGCAACUUCUUUUUAGCUGUCAGAUUAUACCAAAGUCAAAUUCCAUCAACUUGUUUAACAACAAUCCUUUCGUUGCACAUUUGAAUAAGCAAAUGAUGAUCUUAAUGAUUUUCGAGAGUUUAUUAUAAAGCAUAUUCAGUUGUUUUUUUUUAUAUGACUGUCAUACACGUGAGAGGUUUAGCUAGCUUUAAAACCAGGUAUAAUCCACCAUUUUCUACUUAAGACAAUACCUGUACCAAGUCAGUAACAUAACAUUUGUUAUCCAUUCGUUCGAUGUGUUUCAGCUUUUGAUUUUGUCAUUUGAUUAUGGAUUUCCCAUUUUGAAUUUUCCUCGGAGUUCAGUUUAUGUGUGAUUCUACUGUUUAAUCAUUGUUACUCUUAUUUAUUUCUUUAUUACUUGGUUUAACUAUUUGCAAUAGCGAUGACACAAAUGAUUAGCUGCUUGAAACAUAAUUUAUGGACAUAUAUAUAGAAAUUGCAUAUUCUUCUCUUUUUCAAAAACUCACUGUUUCAUUCUCAUCUUUCAAUUAUCUAAAACAAUUGAAGCACUGGUGUAUACAAUAGCAUGAUUAGAAAUAAAAGUAACGGUGCCACUGUAUCGCUAAUUUUCUUAAAUAUAAAGAAAAUGCAGCCUACGAAAUACAUAAACAUUCAAAUUUAAAAAUAAGUGUUUUUGAAUAGAAAAAUGUGGUACUUAACUAUGAAGCAAUAUCCCAACAAACAAUAUAUUUUUUUAUAUUUUGACAACUGAAGCUUGUCUAGUCUGUAUUUUAGUUUACGCGUACACUUUUUACGAGCAAUUCAUGAAUAUUUCUAAGCAGAUAAUCUUGACUUAUCGACAUUAUUAGUUUUUUGUUCGACAAACUCAUGUGAAACCUUACACAUCAGGUUGUCUUUUUUAUUAUUUUACUUUUGACACUUGUCAUUAGGCCUGCUUUUAAUUAUACUCGUUUCUUACAUAAAGUAGUCAUUCAUGCAAGUUUUAGUAGAUUAAUGGCACUUGAUUGAAUUCAUUUUCUACUGAAACACCUGUAUAACAUACCUUUAUUAUCCAACAGAUACCACAAAAUCCCUUUCAAAAUAGUUUUAUUCAAUCUCUCUAUGAACGAUGAAGAACAUAAAGAUUAAUUAAUUCCAGGACACGCCUAUGUAAUUAACAACAUUAGUUCGCAUGGUGAAAAUCAUUAGAAGAUUAAGGUAACUGUUCAAUUCAUUAUACAAAUUUAGUUUUCACUGUAAUCAAAAAUAAUCCUUCACAUGUAACACAUUGUAAGAUCAAAAGGCGUCUUUUAAAUUUUAGUUUUUGUCUAUUGAUAAUCAAUCUAUUUCUUAAAUUAUUUAGUGUAAGCAAUAUGAAGAAGAAUUUUGUAAACUGAAAAACAUGCAAAUUUAACAGAAACCAUUAUGUCUUCUUAAAUGAUUUCAAACGGCUUUUCAAAAGUUAAGAAAUUAUGAAUUACGGGAGCAAAUUAAAGAAAUACAAAUUAAAUCUUUAAGUUAUUUCUUUGAUAUCGCAUACACGUUCAUGUUUAACUCGCUUUAUUCUACUUUUAUUUUGUACUUAUCUGUUUAUUCUAGAAAGUAACCCGUGCAGUGCAAGAUCAUACUUACUAAGAAUUGAUUUAUCUUUUUUUUUAAUAAAAAGUAAAGUAACAAAAAUACUGAACUCCGAGGAAAAUUCAAAGCAGAAAGUCGGUAAUGAAAUAGCAAAAUCUAAAGCUCAAACACAUCAAGCGAAUGAAUAACAAUUGUCAUAGUCCUGCCUUGGUGCAUGCAUUCUCUUAUGUAGAAAAUUGUGGAUUGAAGCUCGUUUUGUCGCUAGCUAAACCUCUCACUAGGCUAAUAGUCGCAUAUAAUUUAUAUUUACGCUCGGAUUUAAAGUGACAUUUUGAAGUACAUACCAUUAUUAAAUAUAUCUUAUAUGGGCUGUUUUUCUCAUGAAGUCAUUCCAUAUAUAUUGACAUUGUUUUAAGGCAAUUAACGGAUCCUUUGAAAGUUGUAACUUAUAGCAUUGCUUACAUGAAUGUUACAGGAAACUCAUAUUUAAAGGGUCCUUAAUUUAGAUUAAGUGCAUACGAUACAGUUAUAGGCGAGGUCAUGACGUAUCUAUCGUAAAAUUUCGCGACGACGUCAAACUGAAAACUUUUGGGAAAAGGUGCAUAUUUUGACUGUUUUUUUAUGCCUUAAACUGAUUUAACUUGAAAACGAGUACAUCUUGAAACUUUGUUAUAAACUAAUUAUUUCAAAAGAACUGUUGUACAUAUUACAUUAUGUUUUUACAAAACUCCGCUUGUGUUUAUCCCUUGAAAUAAAAAAGUUAGAUACAUUUAUCUUAAAGAUAGAAAUGUCAAGAAAAACGAUAUUUUGAGUGAAUGUUUAAAAACAAUUUUGCUUUAUUUGAUAUCAAAUGAUAGACAACUUCUGAUGAAAAAAAAAAUAAAAAUAUUUUUAACAGAUUUACCUUAUGAAAGCAUAUUACUUCACUUGGAUGACCGGGUUGAAGUUAAUAACCUCAUUCCUACAAUAGACCCUUUUGCAACAUUAGAUUUAAAUGGAUUAAAGAGUUUCAAGGAUAGGUUUUCUUACUCUUGUCACAAUUCUAGUUCUGGAGGACAUAUAUCAGUUCACGUAUCAGAGCCAAUUUCGCCCAAAGAAAUCGAUCUGGGAUAGAUUUUUUCACUCAAAUGUUAAUUUCCCAAAUAUUCCCCUUAAAUGCAAUGUAAAAUGCAAUACACUUAAUUUAUCAAAUUGUUAACCGAUCUUUACAAAAGUUAACUCAGAAAGUGUUCGAGCCAUAUUUGAUUGUGAUAGACUAAAUGGUUACAAAUGAGAAGAUUUAAAUGUCAAAAUGACUACUACCGACACCAAGAAAUAACCAAUCCUGACACGACCUUUGACCAUUUCAGCUGAAACUUUUAGAAUAUCACAUAGAAUAAUGAAAUUUAAUUUAAACAAAAAUAGAUGAAUGUUGAGAUGAAUAAAUUACCAAAACUCUUGAUAACAAAGUGAGGACAAAGUUAUGGACACAUCGAAAUAUUCUUAAAUUAAGUUCCAGUUUUAAUAAGUUUUGAAAUAUUUUACAAUGGAAACAUACUUACAGAUAUCUGACUUUGAAUAGAUAACUGAAAAGUAGUUUAUGUUGAUUUUGUGUUGAAAGUUAAACCAAGGAAUGUACACUUUGUUCUAAUUAGAAUGCCUACAACUAAUUGAAAAAAGUUUUUAUGAUUGGCACUUAAAGGGGCUUGUUGCGAGGAUCAAUAUCUUAAAAUUUUUUAAGUGCUUUUAAGAAAAGUGAUUUUUCUGUAUUUUACCUCAGGUAUACGAAGUCACUUUUAUUUCAUUACCUUUUAUACGGUCUCAUGCUAUACCUUGAUAUAUCCUGCAAAACGCAAGAGUAUAAAAUGUGUUUGUUAAAGAAAUACUAGUAAGGCUUGGGUAAAACAUUGCAUCAAUUCGAAAUGUUGAAUAACCAGAUAACAAAAGACCUAGAUAUGGUCGUCUCUAGAGUACCACUCUUAUCCAUAACAAAAAAAAACAAAUAAAUGGAAAAAAGGAAAACAUACCAAUUAACUGUGAGCCGAAAAACAUUAUCGCCUAAAUAAAAAAUCGCCAUACAACAUUAAUCUGAAAGGCAUAGAAAAGGUAACACACAAAAUUUGAACAAUUUGGUUUAUUUUUGGUUAUAUAGCUCUUCAAAUGUUUCGGUUUUUAUAAAUCCUUGGCUUUCAAAUAUUUGGUUUUAAACGUUCAUGAUGCAGGUAAAGCAUGAAAUGUAUAUAACUAGUUGUUUUCAUUUUUGAACGAGGUAUCAGGUGAUCUAAACAGAUACCAAGUCCUGCUCCAAAGCGUUGGGCGUUCGUCGAGUUGUUUAUGACAAGUCAAACGCAUUGGCAAGUUGCAUUUGUUCACAAAUCGCUGUCAAUGUAAUGGAGUUUUAUGCGACUUUCAUAUAAGUGAUAGCUUUAGCUAGCUAUAAAACCAGGUUUAAUAUAUGUAUACAGUAGGGAUUAUAGUUGGUGAUUAAGAUUAUGACACAAUGUUUAUUGCUGUACCCCUAUUUUUGACAAUUUUACCUAUUAUGUGUGUUUGUUUUGUCCAUACAUCGUUGUCACUAUAAUGGAAUUUGAUGCAACUGUCAAACAAGUGAGAGGUUAAGCUAGCUUUUAAACCAGGUUUAAUCCACCAUUCUUUACAUACGAAAAUGCCUGUACCAAGUCAAGAAUAUGAAAGUUGUAGAUAAAAAGCGCGUCUGGCGUAUUAAAUGAUAAUCCUGGUACCUUUGAUAACUAUUUACACCACUGGGUCGAUGCCAUUGCUGGUGGACGUUUCGUCCCCAAGGGUUUCACCAGCCCAGUAGUCAACACUUCGGUGUUGACAUGCAUAUCAAUUAUAUGGUAAUUUUUCAUAAAUUUCCUGUUUACAAAACAUUGAAUUUUUCAAAAAACUAACGUUUUUCUUUUCCCAGGAAUAAAUUACCUUAAUUUGUUUAGAAUGAAAUUCAAAACAGUGUGGCUGUGACCAUUGAUUGACACAUUAAAUUCAUUCAUUGACUGGGACAAUUUAGGUGAACGUUUGUAUGUAACGAUCACUGUAGUUACUAUGUACUUUUUAAAGACACUUAAACUAUGGGGUCAUUAAAGGUUCUCAACACCUUAAUAAAGUAAUUCGAAAAAUUAAUCAGAAAUAACACGAUGUUUUGAUUUAUAUCAAUUAUAUAAAUCAAAACAUAAAGGUCAUUCCUGAUUAAUUUUUCGAAUUAUUUUAUAAUUAAAGGCGUUAAGAAACCUUUGGUGACCCCACAGUUUAAAUGUCUAUCGUAGGUACGUCGUGAACAGUGGUCGUUACAGACAAAUGUUCACGUAAAUUGUCUCAGUCAAUGGAUGAAUUUAAUGUGUCAAUCAAUGGCCACAGCCACACUGUUUUGAAUUUCAUUAUAUGUGUUACAUAUUUGUUUUUCGUUCAUUCUUUUAAUAUAAAUAAGGCCGUUAGUUUUCUCGUUUGAAUUUUUUUUUCAUAUCAUAUCGAGACCUUUUAUAUCUGACUAUGCGGUAUGGGCUUUGAUCAUUGUUGAAUGCCAUACGGUGACCUACAGUUGUUAAUGUUUGUGUCAUUUUUGUCUCUUGUAGACAGUUGGCUCAUUGGCAAUCAUACCACAUCGUCUUUUUUUUUAUAUUAGCCGUUUUUGGCACAACUUUUUGGAAUUUUGGGUCCUUAAUGCUCUUCAACUUUGUAUUUGUUUGGCUUUAUAACCAAUUUGGUCUGAGAGUCACUGAUGAGUCUUAUGUAGACGAAACUCGCGUCUGGUGUAUUAAAUUAUAAUCCUGGUACCUUUCAUAACUAGUUAUCCAUUCGUUUGAUGUGUUUGAGCUUUUGAUUUUAUCAUUUGAUUAGGGAAUUUUCCUCAGAGUUAAGUAUUUUUGUGAUUUUCUUUUUAUUACAGCCAUAUAUAAGUAUUCAUAAUUUUACGCUAAAUACAAUAGUUCCUUAAGCUUAUUCAACCCAAUAUUUUUAGAUAAGGAAUCAUGACUAAAUUGUUAAAAAAAGUAACAACAAUUUAUUAGAACUUUUUUUUUAACAAAAAUGAUUCAAAUGAAAAAGAAAAAUGGAUGAUAAAUAAAGUUAAUAUUCAGACAAUUAAAAUAAAGAAUGUAAAAAAAUGAAAUGCAUAAAUAAACAAAUAAAUACUGUGAUAGAGCACACAAAAUAUGUAGUAUGGACUGUCCGAAAAUGACUAAAAACCAAAAACUCAGUUUCAAAUUGAAUUCAAAGUGAAUUCAAAAAGAGUUUGUGUGUUGGGGGGAAGGUGAAGGUGGCGGGCAUUUAACCUGACAGAAUCAAACAACAUUGUUCUCAGACAUAACAGCUUCUAUCAGAAAUUUUUCUGAAGGUGUCAAGAGAUUAGAGCCUGUUUUAAGUUGUACUGACAUUUUCUAACACAUUCGAAUACAACUUUUAACUAAUACCAAAUGUAUUGGUUGUCAUAGAUAUUCUGUAAUUGUUGAUUAGAUUACGAUGGCGUCUUUCAAACUUCCGGUAGCUAGGUAGAAACCCUGAAUAAAGAAAGUUGGGAUAAGAAACCCAAGCCCUAGAAAGUAAUGCAUCACAUUUGAGGUCUAUUCCCCAUUUCCAAGCACUUCUUUAAAUGUAGUAAUGCCUCUAUUAUUGAAUAUCCCUAUCUAGUCAUCAAAUAUCAGAAUAAGAAUAAAUAGUAUUUUUGAAGUUUAAGUGGAAAUCAAGAACAAUUAUUAUAUGUUUACGUUUCAUUCAAAAAUUUACAAAAAACAGUGUCAAAAUCAACACUACACGAAAUUUUAACUUUCUAAAAUAAUCAGCUAUCAUAACAGUACACAAGCAUUGGAACAGGUUUAAGGAAAGACAACCUUCCCGUCCGACAAUGUUCACGACUACUAUUGAAAUAAAGGUGUGAUCCUAAUGAGCACCACAGGAAUUCUGUUCGUGUGUGUUUGUUUUUUUUGACCUUUUAUACUUCAAGUCAUUGGUUGACAAUAUUCUUCCAAAAAAAUUGUGACAUAAGAAAUAUUGUAGAAUUGAAAAGUACAAACUGAUAACUUAUUGUCACGCGGGAGGCGCCAUUAGGGACAAAUUUCGAGGAUAAUUAUGCCCUAGACAUCCUUUUAUCCUACACGUCUUUAUGAAGUCAUAUUUGUUUGCAUUGAAGAUUCUACAAGUUUUUUUUUGCUUCCUGAUUAUACCUUGAUGAAACUUUUUUUUCUAAUUAAAACUGUUUUCUGGCAUUAAUAAAAGAUGAAGUAAAUACAAUCUUCACGGUGACAUUUAUUAUACUUAAUGUCUCAAUAUUAAUAGCCAGAGAAGCGGUUUUGUUGACACAAGAAUCGUUAAUAUAACAAUUUAUAUUUAAUCUAAUUGGAUCACAAAUGCAUGAAAUCACAACUGAAAGCCGUAAUGAAAUUUUCAAUCUCUGAUAGUUUCUCAAUCUUUCCUUAUUGUUUACACAGAAAUUCAUGAAUACACUUUAAGUUAUUAAACUAGAGAUAGUAAUGGAAUAGACUUAGGUUUCUGUUUGUGAAAUUCUACAAUUAAAUUCCUUGUGCCAUACCCUGGAGACUUUUCAUAGAAUUUAUUACAUUAUAUUAUUGUGUUUUCAUUUUAUCAUAUCGUGUUGUCUUGAGAGAAGAUCAGGUCUGUAAGCUGUAAGGAUUGUCUCCACUUUGUACACGUUUUUAUAACUUAUAAUUGUAAAUUUUGAAGAUAGGAUUGAUUGAUUGUUGGUUGCUUAACGUCCAGUAGCAAAUUUGAAGAUAGGAAGGGGAAGGUAUAGUCGUAAAGAUAUUGUUAUACUGAACAAAAAACACACAAUAAUCAAAACAUUGUGAGGUCAAAACUUAUUAAAAUAAACAAGUAGACAUUGUUUUCUGCGUUCUUAUUUUUUGAAAUUUUUAGAAAUUUUAGUUACUUGCAAGUCAGAUAUUGCUUUGAAUUUGUGAUAUUCAUAUUUUUCUUUAAAAUGUAUUAAGAGAGGGAAUAUAAGGCUAGCUUGUACGUGGAAUUGUGAGGAUUUUUUAAAAAUAAAAUAUCAAAGUAUACGAAAUCAAUUAAAAUAAAAUUCAAUUUUAAGAGUUGCAGAAACUACAACCCUCAUUAGCGUGAAUAAAAUAUCGCAUCUAUAAGAUUCAGUUAUCACGUUUGCAUGCUAUAUGGCAAUAACUAUACAUUUAAAUUUAUAAUUUAAUGCCGAUAAAUACAAACUGAAAUGUUUUAUCAAUAGCUUUAAAACGAAGGUAAACAAAUGCAAUAUGUCUUGUACUGAUUAGGAACAUGUUUUCAUCUUUAAACUAAGUAUGCACUAUAACAUAUAUAACAUACAUAAACACUGUUUAAAAAUACAUUCCUACAAUCCCUUUUUGACAAAUUUUAAACUGAAAAUACUUUUAUUUUAAUAUAAAAUGUAUGAUUAUUAAAACAAUGUGUUUUGUCUAAAAUUUUAAUUUAUCACGAUAAUAAAUUAUCAAUACAAAAUAAAAAAAUAAAAAAGAUUAGUCAUGAAAACAACAUCCUUUAACAACUUCGACGGAAAAACUAAUAUGUAAAAUAUGAUUUAAGGUAGAGAAAAGAUUUUUUUUAUGCACUGAUCACUUUCAUUUUAUUUAGAUAAGCAGUAAAAUGCAAAAUAAGAAAACAAAUAAAAAAGAACCCAGUUAGUAGAUUUUGAGGAGGACGACCAGAACAAAAUUUCACAAAAUAACUAUGAAAAUAUCUUCUUUCUAAAUAUGUUGUUUGCAUACCAAUAAAAUAAUAUCUACUUUCUAUUCAAAGAAAGACAACUCGUCUUUCAAAUACUUAAAUAUCUUUCUCUGGGAAUCGACAAAUUAAUGAUGCGUGUUAUGAUUAUUUUUUUUUUAUUAUCUGGCAUUGUUAAAUUUGCCUGCAGAAAGAAAACAACUUUGUAUUCUGAAUGGCGUUUUGUUUUUAUGAAUAGCAUUUUUUUUCAAGAUUUAUAGUAUUUAAUGUCAGCACGCGUAAUAACUACAUACCAGAUGAGGUGAUACCUACAAUAAUUCAGACGUCGAUUAGAAGCAGCAUUGACACAGUGAAUGUAAAAAGGAAAAUACCGCUAGUAGUUUAUGCCACAGGACUAAGUGCAUCCAGCUAUCCGUUUUUCUCAAGUUUUUUUUUUUUUUUUUGGGGGGGGGGGGGGAGGGGAGGUUAGGACCAUGGUUUGAUUAGAACUUUUGAGGUUUUUAUGGUUUUGUUAUAUUUUGUAUAUACUUGUAUUUAUGUUUUACUUUAUGGUACUUUAUUAAGAAGUUGUAAAUGAAAAAAAAAAGAAAACAAUUGUUAACAAACUAACUGAACUCCUAGGUAAAUUAUGUUUUACUAAACUGUGUGUACGAUGAGCUUCACACAACUUUUCGAUGGCGUCUUUGUCAGAUUUUUUGUAACGUUAACCAAGUGUGUCAGUUUGGGUUGCCAACUUCAUAAGGUCAAUAUAACGGACUUGUUAAAAAAAAACUGUCAUGCAAGUGGGAUGUUUAGCUAGUUAAUAAAAAAAAAGUAAAAUCACAAAAAUACUGAACUCCGAGGAUAAUUCAAAUCGGAAAGUUCAUAAUCACAUGGCAAAAUCAAAUGAUAAAACAUAUCAAACGAAUGGACAACAACUAUUAUAUUCCUGACUUGGUACAGGCAUUUUCAAAUGUAGAAAAUGUGGAUUGAACCUGGUUUUAUAGCGCUUAACCUCUCACUUUAGCAUCGAAUUCCAUUAUAUUGACAAUGAUGCGUGAAAAAAAUGUCACAAAUAGGGGUACAAAAAAGCAACACGAAUCCCAUCAAAACUGGAGUGAUUUCAGGUGCUCCGGAAGGGUAAGCAGAUCCUGCUUCACAUGAAGCACAAGUCGUGUUGAUGAUGUUAUUACAAAGCCAGUAAAUAGUCAAAUUCGAUAGGUCACAUUCGUGAAAAGGGAAGGGGAUUGUAGUUACGAUAAAGAGAACAUAUCCGAUACAACUUGUAUAAGGCGUUGAGGCCUGGAUUGAGUCGGGUGUGUCUAUUCUGUGUUGGUCUUUCAUUGUGUAUUCGUGUUUGUUUUAUGUAAUGAGUUAAUACUUCAGUUUAAUUAUGUAUAUCUGUUAUAUUCAUUUGAUAAAAUUUACUGUUUGCAAUAGCAUUAAUUGUUCUAAAUAAUAAGGAUGUUCUUAUCCCAAGCAUAAAAACUUAAAAACUUAGCCGUAUUUGACACAACCUUUUUCAACUUUUGAUCUUCAGUGCUGUACAACUUUGUACUUUUUUUCGCUUUCGAUCUUUUAUAUCUGGGCGUCACUGGUGAGUCUUGUGUGGACGAGGCGCGUUUUUGGCGUAUUAAAUUUUAAACCUGAUGCUUUUUGUUAUUCAUUAAUCAUGUGUUUCUUUGUCUAAUACGUUCUCCUAUUUAUUUGUAUUGUAGUCCUGUAAUAUUAUGUUGUCAUUUCAAUGUUAUAUUUAACAUUGCCAUUAAAGUGCGAGGUUUGGCAUGCCACAAAAUAGUUAUCAAAAGUACCAGGAUUAUAAUUUUAUACGCCAGACGCGCGUUUCGUCUACAUAAGACUCAUCAGUGACGCUCAGAUCAAAAUAGUUAAAAAGCCAAAACCAUGUUCAACCCACCAUUUUAUCCUUUAAAAAUGUCCUGUACCAAGUCAGGAAUAUGGCCAUUGUUAUAUUAUAGUUCGUUUCUGUGUGUGUUACAAUUUAACGUUGCGUCGUUUGUUUUCUCUUAUUUUUGAGUGUAAAUUGAAAUUGCGAUAAGACGUGUCACGGUACUUGUCUAUCCCUAAUUCAUGUAUUUGAUUUUGAUGUUAUAUUUGUUAUUCUCGUGGGAUUUUGUCUGAUGCUUGGUCCGUUUCUGUGUGUGUUACAUUGUAGUGUUGUGUCGUUGUUCUCCUCUUAUAUUUAUGCGUUUCGCUCAGUUUUAGUUUGUUACCCGAUUUUGUUUUUUGUCCAUGGAUUUAUGAGUUUGAACAGCGGUAUACUACUGUUGCCUUUAUGUAUAACGGAUAUUCCAUAACGGUCGACCAACUCGUGAUUGCGUCCGUAAAAGUUACGAAGGGAUGAUUUCAACUUCACCAUUUGGAUCUCUUGGUUUAAAAAGGAAAAGGUCACAAUUGAGAAGCUGAAAUCAUCUCUUUAGUAGUAAAGUUUUGUUUUCAACCGACUCUCAUAGUCAAUUUCUAGAUAUAAGUCAUAAUCAAAUGGCAAAAUCAAAAGCUCAACACAUCAAACGAAUGAGUAACAACUGUCAUAUUCCUGAUAUGGUACAGGCAUUUUCAUAUGUAGAAAAUGGUACAUUGAACCUGAUUUUGUAGCGCUUAACAUCUCACUUGUAUGACAGUCGCAUCAAAUUCCAUUAUAUUUACAACGAUGCGUGAACAAAAGCCACAUUAUAGGUAAAAUAGUUAAAAUGUUUGAAACUAGUUUGUUGUCUUUAUCGAUUCAGGAAUUUGACAGUUGUUUUCAAUUCGAUCCGUCGGUAGAUAUAAUUGAGCUGUUAUAUUGUCAAGUUUUAAAGACUUGUCCGUUUUGAAUUUCCCCAAGAGUUAAUACCCUUUAUAUGUUAACUCUGGUAAGUGGAUUUUCUUAAUUUUUCAAGGUACGAUCAUGCCAGUAUAUAGUUGAAUAGACACCAAAUAGUAAUUCACUCAGUGCCAUGUUUUCUACUUGCAGAAUCAUCGACUAGUGGUGUAAUUUAUCAGAGGAAAAGAAAAUGUCCAUGGUGCACAAAUCGAAACAGAUAACAUGCCAAAUCACAUACAAAGACAAAAAGCAUUAAACAACAAUAAUUCGAAAAUAUCUAAGUUAGAAGAGCCUUAUUGUUUCGAAUGAUUCAACAUUUUAUGCAAGUAAUACGAGCAGGCCAUGAACAUAAUGAAACCGG
rnacentral:lncRNA from 1 species